rnacentral:lncRNA from 1 species
AGAGAACCUGUUUCUGCAAGUUGGCCUCUGACCUCCCCACACAAGCACAGAGACACACACACACAAAUGAAUACAUAUAAAAAAGAAUAAAACCUUGUACUCUUUUAAGGAUAAAAGACUAUUGUUGUUAAUACCUGAAUUCUUACAGCUUUUCUUUUUUAGCUUCCUAGUCUGAAGAGCCUAAAAGAAUCAGUUGUGACUGAAUUACAGGAACCACACUUUCCUUUCCUUUCCUCUUCCUCUUCCUCCUCCUCCUCCUCCUCCUCCUCCUCCUCUUCCUCCUCUUCCUCCUCUUCCUCCUCCUCCUCCUCCUCCUCCUCCUCCUCUUCUUCUUCUUCUUCUUCUUCUUCUUCUUUCAGCUGUUUUCAUCUAAAUAUUUGAAUAUUUUUGUAAACUAUUCUGUGUUUUAUAAACUAUUCUGUUAGGACAAAGGGGCACUUCAGAAUUCCUGUUUCAAGUUCUUUCUGUCUGUUAAGUAUCUUGCUAGGUAAAUUCAGCCUUAAGUUAUUUGGAAUUACUUGAUCAAAUGGAAUCUUCUUUCUUGCAUUCACAAGACUUACUUAAAACAAAAUAAAAACAGGACUACCCUGCAAUUUAGUGUUUGUUUUUUAAAUGUCAACUGUUCUUUAGGGUCACCUGUUAACGGCAUCUGAGGCAUUCAGGUACCUUGGUCACAAUUUUGACUUAAGCUUAUCUCUGGAGAUUCUGAUAGGAAGCUAGGACUGAAAACUCUCGACUUUCUUUUUCCCCUCUAAGUAGUUUUAUACGUUUUAUCUUCAACGACAUCACAUAUAUGGCUUUCUUUGGGACAGGGAUAAAGGAAAUUUCCACAAACAAAAAAACUUCAAUUAUUUACAUUAUUCAUUUAUGUACUAAUGACAGGUGGAGUGGGAUGGGUGGGUUAGAGGUAGAGAAGGCAUGUUGGUAAUUUUGGAGAAAGCCGGCCAUGCAACUCUUCUCUAGAGACUCUUGUUCUUCCUUUUGGAAGGGCUCAGGUUUAAUAUAGCACAGUUGUUGAACUCUGCCCUCCUGAAUUUUAAGAAGAAAGGGUCUUAUCCUUUCUAAUGGAAAUGUGCUUUUUAGGGAGGUGAUCUUUGGCUGGACAUAAUGCUUAAGAAAGUUCCUUGCUUCUCUAGAGUUCUUGGUUUCACUGCUCUCCUAGAAUUGUUUCAGUCCAGGGAGCGUCCUCCCCAGUACAGGUCGGAUUGCUUCUGAAGUAUGCUUUGCUGGGUCCUUAACAAAGCCAGGUGAAGAGUUAUUUCUUUGUGUUUUCUAGGGCUCAAAAAUAUGUUCUUUGCUUUAUUUGGCCACUUCAUACACAAGUAAAAGGUCCUUUCUUGACAAAAAGUUCUGUUCUAGAUGACUGUUCAACAAGCCAUAUGCUUCUCCUAAAACUGUCACUCUGUCUUGAUGAACUUUAAAGUAAAUGCAGAUGUUUUUGAGUCUUUUGAGGACCACCACUAUGAAUGGAAAGAGCACUUCUUUUCAGGGGAAUUCUUCAUUGUACUUAAAGAUAUCUAGAUGAAAUUUAUACCUUUUGCUUUAUUAGUUUGAAAUUAAUUUUAAUAUCCGUAUUACACAUAAGUUUUUGAGAAAUAAAAUAUAGCCCAUAAUACCACAUUGACUAAGAGCUUGUGUUUAUAGAACCUUUUAAAAAUAUGAAACUUAAAAUACUUUGUAAUAAUUACUUUUGGGUAGUGAGAAAAGAGUUAGUUUUUAAUCAAAAGAGUGGCUUCUGCCUUGAUAGGUUAACUCUAAAAGUAUAGUUCAUAGAGUCAUACUUGAGUCAUAACUUGAAUUGGAAGAAAAUUAUUGUAGCUUGUCAGCCCUGUAUUUAAUUUAAGAAUCUCUGCUGAAGAUCUUAGUUUCUGGUAACUCUAGAAACAGUUUUUUUCACUGUGACAAAGUGCCCUCUAGAAAUGCCAAGGGGGACAAGCAUAUUGUGGUGAGUGGUUUCAGUUCAUGGUGUGCUUCCUCCAUGUCCAAGGGCCUCUGUUGAGUAUCCCUGGAGCAGAAGGGUGUGGCCCAGCAGGGUUGCUCACCUCAUGGCUGGCUGGAAGGGCCCUAGCUAGAUCCAGUCCCGGAGGGCAUCUGCCUCUUCCAGCUACACCCUACCUCCCACGUUACCAGCACUUUCCAAAAUAGCGCCAUUAGCUGGAAAGCAAAGCCUGAAGACAUGAAGGGUGUGGGAGGCAUUUUAUAUUCAACCAUAACACACACACUGUUCCUUUACACUCAUUGAUAAGUGUUGUUUCUCUCUGCUCUGUAGAGUAAGUCUUUCCCUGUGUACUUGCCAUCCUUUCCUGUAACUAGGCUUAGCAUCUUCAACUUGUUUAUUCUAUUAAAAUGGCCAGAUUUCUUGAUGAGUUCCUGCCUCUCUGUACUUCUCAGGAUGUUUGUUGUAAUGGUUAACGUUCUUUAUCAGCUUGGUUGGAGUAAGAGUGCCUGGGUGAUUAGUGAGGCACUCAUUUGAGUGGGUCUGUGAUAGUGAUGCCAUUGAUGAUGAGAACGGAAGGGCUCUGGCUCUCGGAUGGACCCUUAGAUGGAUUUAUAUUCCUCAUGCAUGUUAGGAGACACAGAAGGAGGUGUGCUCUUGAGGAGAGUAAGUCACUUGGGAUAUGACCUUGGAUCUGUGUCUUACUUGGUGCCUCCCUCAUGGCCUCCCUCUCUGUUUCCUGGAGUGCCAAGAAUGAACAGUUGUCCUGCUACAGAUUUUGCCCAACCUCAUGGGGCCACAUGACUGGAUUAAUAACUCUGAAGCCAUGGAUC